GGCUCACCAGGAACUCGUCCGCGCCCAGCCGCUCCAGCGCCUCCUCGCGCUUCCCGGGCGAGGUGCUGAUGACGGUGACCCGCAUGCCGAACGCCUUGCCGAACUUGACGGCGACGUGGCCGAGGCCCCCGAGGCCGACGACGCCCAGGUGCUUCCCCGGCGCGUUCAGGCCGAAGCGCAUCAUCGGGCUGUACACCGUGACGCCGGCGCAGAGCAGCGGCGCGGCCUUGUCCAGCGGCAGCCCGUCCGGGACGCGGACCACGUAGUCCUCGUUCACGAGCAUGACGUCGGAGAAGCCCCCCUGGGUGACCGCGCCGCCGUGCUCGGGGUCGAUGCCGUUGGAGGUGAGCACCAUGCCGGAGCAGUAGUUCUCGUACCCGUUGCCGCAGCACUCGCAGGAGCGGCACGACCCGACGAAGUAGCCCACGCCCACCGUGUCGCCGGCCUUGAACUUGCUGACGCCGCUGCCGACGCUGGUCACGACGCCCAGGAUCUCG
rnacentral:lncRNA from 1 species